GACAGAGGUGCCGAGCGUUAGGCGGAAUCACUGGGCUUAAAGCGUGUGUAGGCGGACCGUUAAGUACCUUGUGAAAUCCCCCGGCUCAACCGGGGAACGGCUGGGUAUACUGGCGGUCUUGAGCCAUCCAGGGGCAGUCGGAACAGACGGUGGAGCGGUGAAAUGCGUAGAUAUCUGGAGGAACAUCAGUGGCGAAGGCGACACCCUGGACUCAUACUGACACUGAGGUGCGAAAGCGUGGGGAGCAAACAGG
rnacentral:rRNA from 1 species